UUGAAGAGUUUGAUCAUGGCUCAGAUUGAACGCUGGCGGCAGGCCUAACACAUGCAAGUCGAGCGGUAGCACAGAGAGCUUGCUCUCGGGUGACGAGCGGCGGACGGGUGAGUAAUGUCUGGGAAACUGCCUGAUGGAGGGGGAUAACUACUGGAAACGGUAGCUAAUACCGCAUAACGUCGCAAGACCAAAGAGGGGGACCUUCGGGCCUCUUGCCAUCAGAUGUGCCCAGAUGGGAUUAGCUAGUAGGUGGGGUAAUGGCUCACCUAGGCGACGAUCCCUAGCUGGUCUGAGAGGAUGACCAGCCACACUGGAACUGAGACACGGUCCAGACUCCUACGGGAGGCAGCAGUGGGGAAUAUUGCACAAUGGGCGCAAGCCUGAUGCAGCCAUGCCGCGUGUAUGAAGAAGGCCUUCGGGUUGUAAAGUACUUUCAGCGGGGAGGAAGGCGAUAAGGUUAAUAACCUUGUCGAUUGACGUUACCCGCAGAAGAAGCACCGGCUAACUCCGUGCCAGCAGCCGCGGUAAUACGGAGGGUGCAAGCGUUAAUCGGAAUUACUGGGCGUAAAGCGCACGCAGGCGGUCUGUCAAGUCGGAUGUGAAAUCCCCGGGCUCAACCUGGGAACUGCAUUCGAAACUGGCAGGCUAGAGUCUUGUAGAGGGGGGUAGAAUUCCAGGUGUAGCGGUGAAAUGCGUAGAGAUCUGGAGGAAUACCGGUGGCGAAGGCGGCCCCCUGGACAAAGACUGACGCUCAGGUGCGAAAGCGUGGGGAGCAAACAGGAUUAGAUACCCUGGUAGUCCACGCCGUAAACGAUGUCGACUUGGAGGUUGUGCCCUUGAGGCGUGGCUUCCGGAGCUAACGCGUUAAGUCGACCGCCUGGGGAGUACGGCCGCAAGGUUAAAACUCAAAUGAAUUGACGGGGGCCCGCACAAGCGGUGGAGCAUGUGGUUUAAUUCGAUGCAACGCGAAGAACCUUACCUACUCUUGACAUCCAGAGAACUUUCCAGAGAUGGAUUGGUGCCUUCGGGAACUCUGAGACAGGUGCUGCAUGGCUGUCGUCAGCUCGUGUUGUGAAAUGUUGGGUUAAGUCCCGCAACGAGCGCAACCCUUAUCCUUUGUUGCCAGCGGUCGGCCGGGAACUCAAAGGAGACUGCCAGUGAUAAACUGGAGGAAGGUGGGGAUGACGUCAAGUCAUCAUGGCCCUUACGAGUAGGGCUACACACGUGCUACAAUGGCGCAUACAAAGAGAAGCGACCUCGCGAGAGCAAGCGGACCUCAUAAAGUGCGUCGUAGUCCGGAUUGGAGUCUGCAACUCGACUCCAUGAAGUCGGAAUCGCUAGUAAUCGUAGAUCAGAAUGCUACGGUGAAUACGUUCCCGGGCCUUGUACACACCGCCCGUCACACCAUGGGAGUGGGUUGCAAAAGAAGUAGGUAGCUUAACCUUCGGGAGGGCGCUUACCACUUUGUGAUUCAUGACUGGGGUGAAGUCGUAACAAGGUAACCGUAGGGGAACCUGCGGUUGGAUCACCUCCUU
rnacentral:rRNA from 1 species